GGCGACGACAGCGACGAGCGCGACUGCUGCACCGGCGACCAUUUCGUAUGUGGCGACGGCAGAUGCAUCCACAAGCGUAAUGAAUGCGACGGCAGGAACAACUGCGGGGACUGGAGUGAUGAGAAGCAUUGCGUGUGCCGCUCUGAUCAAUUCAAGUGCGCCAACACCGGCGA
rnacentral:lncRNA from 1 species